GACGAGCCUGGGAAUCUAAGCACAGUGGGCUGAACAUCUGCUGGGACAAGGAUGGGGCCAGAGACAGAUCACUCUGACUCACUACCCUGCCACCAAACUAAUGACAAAAAACCUGAGGUAUUAAGCAGUAGAGCCCAGAUCCGAUGCCCAAAGCUGUGGUGAUACUGCACCAUGCUGCUCCUUGGAAUGACCACUGUGCCAUCCAGGAUAUGCUGGGGAUGACCAAUGAGGUUUUCAACCUUUGAAAAUGCCGCUACUCCCAAAUGUAUACCACAAACACGGAAAUCAACCUAAAAACGGUGCGGCUGCUUCUGCUCACUCCCUCAGUUUGAAGGCUCUAAAUUUAUUCAGCUUGUACUGAAAGGAAAUGAAGUCGAUGUCCAAAUUGGAACCAAUGUGGAGUACUGAUGUGCUGUGCCUUCAUUACCUGAGACUACAGCGGCCUGCAUUCCCCACCGGGCUGGGAGGAGUGCAGAUGCCUGAGAAACGAGGUCUCAGUAUGUUGCCCAAGCUGGUCUUGAACUCCUGGUCUUAAGCGAUCUCCUUGCCUCAGCUCCUGAGUACUUCUCAGUUUUCUAUACAAAUCUCUCAUCUAUCCCUAACCUCUCAGAUACCUGACAAUCGUUAGUUCUCUCUGGCGCGUGUCUGGGGCCUGUGUAUAUUUGGACAAAACGCAUCAACGAAUGGGUUCCCUGGUGAUGAUUUGGCAGAUUCCUGGCAAUUUCAUCAGAGGAUCUACAAACUGGAGAAACUCCAAGAUGAACCCCAAAGAUCUCCAUCUCCAGCUGUUCACACUCCUAUGUAAUCUCUAGCCCUUGGGUGUGGAAAGGACUUGUGACUUGCUUUAACCAACAACAGAAUAUAGCAAAGGUAAAAGGAUGUCAUUUCUGUGAUUAGACUAUACAAGAUUGUGACUUCUGUCUUGCUAGUAGACUCUACUGCUUUCUCAGUUUGCAUGCUGGAAUAAAGUAAGCAACUACUUUGGAGAGGCCCACAUGGUAAGGACUGAGGGCAGCUUCUUGCCAAUCACCAGCUAGGAACUGAGUUCCUCAGUCUAACAGGUCUUCAGAUCCUGAAUCCUGCCAAGAGCCCUGGCUGGUGUCUCUUCUUCCAUUGAGCCUUCAGAUGAAAACCUGGCCUUCGCCAAUAUUUGACUGUAGCCUGUAAGAGACCCUGAAGCAGAGAACCCAGAUCAGCUACAUCCAGAUUCCUGAGGCACAGAAAAUGAGAUUAUAAGUGUGUAUUGUCUGAAGCUGCUAAGUUUUGUGAUGCCUAAGAACUGCAAUUGAGAAAUAAUUUUCUCACCUGGUCACGGCAUCCACCAAGAAUGGCGCUGGGGGAGAGAUCAGUGAGAUUCCAUCUUUAUUACCAUGUCCCUCCUUCCCUGCCAAAAGCAUUUCACAUCCUGCAAGUCCAUUAGACAUGGCACCACUCUGCUGUGGGAGAUACACACACAUCUAAAUACAGAGGUAACAAUACCUGCCCAGCCAGCACUUCAGCUCCAAAUCAAGCUUUACUAAUGACUAUGAGUAACGAAGAUGGUUUUGAUAAUUAUGACUGUUUUGUUUUGUUAACUAUUCUUCAUCUGAGACUUUUACUUUUGUUUCUGCCAGCAUCCUGACAAACAUUUACAACCAGAAAGGGUAAGCCACUAGCUUGAAGCCAUUAAGUUCAGUUAACAAGGCUUUGAUAACAACCUUCGUGUUUUUAAGGAAAAACAAAGAACCUAGUAAUCCUUUAGGCCUUACCCUGAGAGGGUAAAGAAGAAAAAUCACAGAUAACAUGAACUUACCGGAACAAUCCACCGGGGUGUGAUCGUGGAUGUGGAAGACACCUAAAAUAAUUUUAUGUAUGUAUUUACUUUUUGGAAAGACUGACUUACUUUCAUACUUAUGAUACUUACAUCUAUUAUGAAAUCCAUUCUAGGGGGGCAAUUCUUAAUUCUUAAUGGUGUUCCUUGAGCUGACAUGGACUUCUAAAUUCAAGACCCUUUUCUAUUAUACAACACAGAUGCUAUCCCUCACCACUUAAGAAAGUGUCAUAAUUUUGGGAAUCCCUUAUCUAAAAAUUUACCAUUCAAGAAUCUAUUACUACUUUUCAGUUCACUUAAUGGGACUGCCCCUACCCCACACCCAGUAUUCAGUUUAACAUUUUAUUUUCUGAAAUUUCAGUUAAUUACAAAUAAUGAUAGCCUUCUUGGUAGCAGCCUGAACAAUGGAUUGUGACUAAUCCAAAUAAACAGCAACAAGAAAGUACACAGAAAAAUCUGUUUAGAUACAGAUCAUUCUCUAAUUAUCAUGUAUGCAUGAAGAAAGCAGCAAUAAAAACACCCAUAUUGCUCCUGGUU